AAUGACUCUCGGCAACGGAUAUCUCGGCUCUCGCAUCGAUGAAGAACGUAGCCAAAUGCGAUACUUGGUGUGAAUUGCAGAAUCCCGUGAACCAUCGAGUCUUUGAACGCAAGUUGCGCCCGAAGCCAUUAGGCCGAGGGCACGUCUGGCUGGGUGUCACACAACG
rnacentral:rRNA from 1 species